GGACAUUUGGAAGGUUUGCUUUCUGGGUUACAAGCGGAGAACCUUGGUUUCUCGACUAUUACCCAGGGAAAAGUCCCCGGACCCGUGGCAGAAAGUGCCCUGGCGUGAAGCCAGUAACGGCUCGUGUCUCCCCGUCAGAGCCAAGAAGCUCGCUGAGAGCAGAGCUCGGGGAAUACUAGUCGUCUUUGUCAUGCACGAGAGAAAUGCAGGCGUGCGCGCGCACUGUGUAACAGAACGGGGCUCACUCUCUGAAUGCUC
rnacentral:RNase_MRP_RNA from 2 species